rnacentral:tRNA from 1 species
GGCUCGUUGGUCAAGAGGUUAAGACACCGCCCUUUCACGGCGGUAACAGGGGUUCAAUCCCCCUACGAGUCACCA